UACAGAGGGUGCGAGCGUUAAUCGGAUUUACUGGGCGUAAAGCGUACGUAGGCGGUUUUGUAAGACAGAGGUGAAAUCCCCGGGCUCAACCUGGGAACUGCCUUUGUGACUGCAAGGCUAGAGUACGGCAGAGGGGGGUGGAAUUCCGCGUGUAGCAGUGAAAUGCGUAGAUAUGCGGAGGAACACCGAUGGCGAAGGCAACCCCCUGGGCCUGUACUGACGCUCAUGCACGAAAGCGUGGGGAGCAAACAGG
rnacentral:rRNA from 1 species